rnacentral:rRNA from 1 species
CUUGCUUCGCCGCCGCGACCGGCGCACGGGUGAGUAACACGUAUGCAACCUGCCCCUGUCAGGGGGACAACCCGCCGAAAGGCGGGCUAAACCCGCGUACAUGCCACCGGGGCAUCCCGGAGGCAGGAAAGGCUUCGGCCGGACAGGGAUGGGCAUGCGGCGCAUUAGGCAGUAGGCGGGGUAACGGCCCACCUAACCGACGAUGCGUAGGGGUUCUGAGAGGAAGGUCCCCCACACUGGUACUGAGACACGGACCAGACUCCUACGGAAGGCAGCAG